UAAUACUACUGGAUAGUGGACGUUACUCGCAGAAUAAGCACCGGCUAACUCUGUGCCAGCAGCCGCGGUAAUACAGAGGGUGCGAGCGUUAAUCGGAUUUACUGGGCGUAAAGCGUACGUAGGCGGCUUUUUAAGUCGGAUGUGAAAUCCCUGAGCUUAACUUAGGAAUUGCAUUCGAUACUGGGAAGCUAGAGUAUGGGAGAGGAUGGUAGAAUUCCAGGUGUAGCGGUGAAAUGCGUAGAGAUCUGGAGGAAUACCGAUGGCGAAGGCAGCCAUCUGGCCUAAUACUGACGCUGAGGUACGAAAGCAUGGGGAGCAAACAGGAUUAGAUACCCUGGUAGUCCAUGCCGUAAACGAUGUCUACUAGCCGUUGGGGCCUUUGAGGCUUUAGUGGCGCAGCUAACGCGAUAAGUAGACCGCCUGGGGAGUACGGUCGCAAGACUAAAACUCAAAUGAAUUGACGGGGGCCCGCACAAGCGGUGGAGCAUGUGGUUUAAUUCGAUGCAACGCGAAGAACCUUACCUGGUCUUGACAUAGUAAGAACUUUCCAGAGAUGGAUUGGUGCCUUCGGGAACUUACAUACAGGUGCUGCAUGGCUGUCGUCAGCUCGUGUCGUGAGAUGUUGGGUUAAGUCCCGCAACGAGCGCAACCCUUUUCCUUAUUUGCCAGCGGGUUAAGCCGGGAACUUUAAGGAUACUGCCAGUGACAAACUGGAGGAAGGCGGGGACGACGUCAAGUCAUCAUGGCCCUUACGGCCAGGGCUACACACGUGCUACAAUGGUCGGUACAAAGGGUUGCUACCUAGCGAUAGGAUGCUAAUCUCAAAAAGCCGAUCGUAGUCCGGAUUGGAGUCUGCAACUCGACUCCAUGAAGUCGGAAUCGCUAGUAAUCGCGGAUCAGAAUGCCGCGGUGAAUACGUUCCCGGGCCUUGUACACACCGCCCGUCACACCAUGGGAGUUUGUUGCACCAGAAGUAGGUAGUCUAACCGCAAGGAGGACGCUUACCACGGUGUGGCCGAUGACUGGGGUGAAGUCGUAACAAGGUAGCCGUAGGGGAACCUGCGGCUGGAUCACCU
rnacentral:rRNA from 1 species